UUCUGCCCCCGUCUUAUGAAGUUUUUACAGAGGAGUUCCUUGUGCCUUCAUGGCAAACUCACAGAUUAUACACUGAGAAACCACAUACUUCAUCUUCUAUAAAGCUCUCUGCCUCUGCUUUGCUGCUGGUGAUAAGUGGUGGAUAGCAGCUCAAGGUGCUUACUGCACAUGGCUCUCUGAGUGGUAUGGACGCUACCCGCAUUUCCAGACUUUCCCCUCUCUCUUACCUGAACUAAUGCCCUCACUUCCUAGAUCCCUCUUGCACUAAAUAAAAGUUUAAAACCAACCAUGCUGCCUCAUUUAUCUGUGCCCGUAUUUAGAAUUCUUCUCUAAAUAUCAGGCAAGAACCCUCUUGGGCUUAUUAAUAUU
rnacentral:lncRNA from 1 species